rfam:Acinetobacter sp. ANC 4603 Contig10, whole genome shotgun sequence.
CGGAGCAUGGCGCAGUCUGGUAGCGCACCUGGUUUGGGACCAGGGGGUCGUAGGUUCGAAUCCUACUGUUCCGA